CACCGCGGUUGUCUCACUGCAUUCUCGUAUUUAUCUUUUCCACUGAGUAAAGACGUAUACUUAGUAGCUCGAGGGACGUUCAACGAUGAACGUUUGAUGCUGCUCGUAUAGAACGCAAUAUAGCAUCUCUCGCGGUUUCGUAAUUUUUCUCGGUCGAAAAUCUCAAAGCAAAAUGAAUUAUUGUGCGAUGUUAUCUUCGUGAAAAUUACCGCAUUUGAUAUACUUGUAUAUACGUUAUCAUUGCCACAUGUAAGUGACGAGUGCGAUUGACGUGCACUGCGUUUUUUUUUCGUUCUUAUAGAAUAAAUUGAUAUCGUUAUAUGCUGAGAUUGAGGUGGAAGAGUUAAUACCAUUAAAUAAAAAUGGAUUCAUUUAAUAAUUACGGUAGGAAUGAUUUGUCGGAGAUGUAUCCGUCGUUUAUUUAUUUAAAUGAAGAUGAGAACAGUCACUUACUCCUGGACAUGGAUUCUUUGGUUUCUAGGCGUAGUAAUUUCUUAGCGAACCGCAGUUGUGAAUCAGUGAAGAAGAAAUGUUUUCUCGUUGUUGGAGGGGAUUUCUCGGGACUACUUAACAUUGACGUAUUGCAUCGAUUUAUGGAAAAACCGCAUUUAACUUUAGCAUUUAAUCAUUCUAUCUCUAAAAAAACACGCUACACAAGAUACUCGACAGAUCCGACUUUAAAAAUAUCUGAAUGGAUAGGUGACGAGGAAUGCAAGGAAAUCGAUGGUACCGGAUGGUCAGAUAAACCUAUCAAAAACUGGUGUCAAGAGGAAACAAUAAAUUGGCUUAUGUCAGCCGCAUCGUAUAUGGGUCAACCGUACAGUUCUAUUCAACAUAGUCUUGCUGUGUCAGGGAAGGAACUUGUGACUUUUACCCGACAAGAUUUCAUUAAUUAUGAUCCAAUAUACGGGGACCAAUUGUACGAUCUUCUUCACUCACAACGUGUAUCGAAUCUGCUGCCAUCAUUCGAUACUAUUCAACCACAAUCGGAGGACGAAUACGCGCCAGUUAUUUCAAACAACAUAUCUGAUGCAGAAUCGGAUAAUAGCGUUGAAGUUGCAACGAAAAGAAUGCCUGGCAGACCAAGAGUAUUAAAGACCAAAAAGAAUCAGAAACGUGUCCUAGUUUAAUCUGUUGGGAGGAUUAUUCACAAGCCAAAUUUCGCUUUGUAAAAAGCGACGAAGUAGCAAAACGGUGGGGUUCACGGAAAGGAAAUACAAAAAUGACUUAUGAAAAACUUAGUAGAGCUAUGAGAUACUAUUAUAAAAGCAAGAUAUUUCUACCGGUGCUUGGUCGAAGAUUGGUAUAUCAAUUUGGACCAAAUGCAAAAGGAUGGCAAACGGAUAAUCCAAAUUUCCGAAAUUGAAACGACAUUGUCAAGAAGAAGCGAAUAUAUAUGUAUAUAUGGAAUAUGCGAAAACAAUAAAAUAAACCGAAUAUCUCGUGAUGUUCUCGAAAUGUUAAAGAUAAUCGCGCAUUUAACACUUUACUAAUCAAAGAAGCUAUCUAUUAAUAAGCCUCUCAUACUAGAAUAAGCCAAUCAGUAAUAUAUUAAUAUGUUUUAUAUGCUUCUUAAAUAGUGCCAUAAAUAUAGCUAUAUUUUUUCACAAAUAUAGAAGCAUAAUAAUAUAUAGUAAGAUAAAGUUCGCGUAACAACAAAAAAGGAAUAAAGCCUCAAGAAGAUAUUCCGUUUAUCUAUCUUGCCGCCGCGGUUCCUUGUCAUAUUUUUAUAUUUUUAAUGUUAUCAAAACUCUAAUUACAUAAUAAUUGUGUUUACAAUGAUCUUAAAAUGCAAUUAAAAAGAAUGUGCAAGAGAUACUAUUUAAGAAGAAAAAAUUACUAUUUAAGAAUAAUUUCACGAAUAAAAUCAAGAAACAAAUCUUUUAUAAAAA